rnacentral:lncRNA from 1 species
GAAUCGAUUUAUUGGGUUACGAUAAUCAUUUGACGAGCAGAGGCCGCACUCAUCCUAUUAACUGCCUUGGAGCAAUUUGUUUAAGACCCUUACGGCACUGAUAAAAAUAAACUUAAGAAAACUCUAAGCAAUGACCAUAAAGAUACCAAUAUUGGGCUCAUUGACACCGAAAGAUAUGCAAACUCUUAUAAUUGAUCCAACCAAUAUAGCC